CUAGUCAGCCUAUACAACAGAAGGUGACUGGUGGUAACCUGUAAAUAUUAACUGAGGGGGACUAUUUCUGAUAGCCAAGGGCUCUGGCCUGGCAAAGAUAAAACAAAAUUCUCUGACUCUGAGCUGGAGCUGGACACAUUUGGACCUGAAAGAAGUUGCAGAUUACUUAAAUUGAAGCAAACAGCUGCACAUUCUCCACUAAGAAGUAUUUUGAAACCAUGAGGACCUGCUUAGUUUCAAGAUCUGCUGCAGCUUACCCCCCCAAAAAAAUCCCCAAUCUGUGACUGCAAAGGAAUCCCUUGGGAAACUGAAAGGAGAUUGCAGGUGCUCCAAAUGAGCCCUGGCAAUUCACGCCAGGGGAUUUAAGACCUUACAGUGACAGUCAUCCAUCUGACUUUUACCCCUCCUCCCUUCUGCCACCGUCUGCUGCUGCCAGCAAGGAGAGGGCACACUCUCCUUUGGUGCUCACAACACGGCACAGUCACCUGAACAGGACCGAGCCCAGUUUAAUUAAUACAGCUCUCAUGGAGGGAGCAGCAGUGGGGCUCACAUAUCCUUCCCCUCAGCGCCAGGGAAGCAGGAGGACCACAGAGGAGAAAAUCCCUCAGCAUGCCCUGCCAGGAGACAGCAGCGCUUGCCUGGGAGACCCUGCCCAUGCACACAUGUUAUCAUGAAAUGCCUUCAAGAGAGCAGCUCUGUCUUCUCGGCUGAGCGAGUCUUUGAUGUCCAGCACUGCACUCAGAUGUUCCUUCCUUUCCAAAAGGAUAAGAGGGCAGGUCAGUGAACGAGUCAAGGAAAAAAGAUUGCUUCCUAUUACUCAGUUUUGCUGGAACAGACCAAAGAUCAGAAGCUGCUGAGCUGCUUUUUGACACCCUUUGGCCACCUAACAAGGAGGCGGCUGUGUCACAAGAGCUGUGUGGGAUAAGGCUGAGCUCACGGGUCCCAAGCCCAGUGCACACAGCAUCCCCGUGAAACUUUGGAAAUCUUCACCUCAGGUUUCUCCAAGAAAAAGAUCUGUAUCUGCCAUAAUAGGUUUCGGGUAACUCUGCAUUUGACCAUUUGGAAGCAUUUUUUGUAUCUUUUCUCCCCUCAGAUGGAGCUACUUAUUGCUCAUCUAGAAGGCUAUAGGAUUUUUGUUCUACAUAGCAUUGCUUUGCUGAGCGGGGCCACGCUAUAUUAGUCUGAUUAACAAACAGGGCAAAGGUAUCCGAGCCAAACAGUUUUAAACAUAUGGGAAUCUGCUGAAAUCAAGAACAGUGACCUCCUCUGAGAUCUGGAUCAAAAGAAUAUUAUUCUGAGUACUUCCUAUGCCCACUUCCUAUACUAUAUAUAUCUCUCUCUAUAAAUAUAUGGUUAUAUAUAUAUAUGUAUUACUAUUUAUAUGUGUGUGUAUAAAUAUAGUAAGAGAAUAAGAAUUGCUAUGCUGUAUCAGAUAAGCAGCUUUUUAGCUUAAUAGCAUCUUCAAAAGUAGUAAAUGCUUAAGAAAAGAAUAUAGAAACCAGAUGAAGCAUAACAU